rnacentral:rRNA from 1 species
GACGUAGGAGGCGAGCGUUAUCCGGAUUCACUGGGCGUAAAGCGCAUGUAGGCGGUUGCACAAGUCCGUUGUUAAAGCCCCUGGCUCAACUGGGGGAGGUCAAUGGAGACUGUGCGACUUGAGGGCAAUAGAGGCACGUGGAACUCCCGGUGUAGCGGUGGAAUGCGUAGAGAUCGGGAAGAACACCAGUGGCGAAGGCGGCGUGCUGGGUUGCACCUGACGCUGAGAUGCGAAAGUGUGGGGAGCAAACGGG